UAAUACGAAGGGUGCUAGCGUUGUUCGGAAUCACUGGGCGUAAAGCGCGCGUAGGCGGUUAUUCAAGUCAGGGGUGAAAUCCUGGGGCUCAACCCCAGAAUUGCCUCUGAAACUGUAUAACUAGAGUGUCGGAGGGGAUAGCGGAAUUGCUAAUGUAGCGGUGAAAUGCGUAGAUAUUAGCAGGAACACCGGUGGCGAAGGCGGCUAUCUGGACGACAACUGACGCUGAGGCGCGAAAGCGUGGGGAUCAAACAGGAUUAGAUACCCUGGUAGUCCACGCUGUAAACGAUGGAUGCUAGCUGUUGGGGGGUUACCUCUCAGUAGCGUAGCUAACGCGUUAAGCAUCCCGCCUGGGGAGUACGGUCGCAAGAUUA
rnacentral:rRNA from 1 species